rnacentral:rRNA from 1 species
CCCGCCUGCCCAGUGACUCAUGUUCAACGGCCGCGGUAUUUUGACCGUGCGAAGGUAGCGCAAUAACUUGUCCUUUAAUUGGGGACUAGUAUGAAUGGCAUCACGAGGGCUUAUCUGUCUCCUCUUUUAAGUUAAUGAAAUUGAUCUUCCCGUGCAAAAGCGGGAAUUUAUACAUUAGACGAGAAGACCCUAUGGAGCUUUAGACACCAAGACAGAUCACGUUAAUUAUGCCCAAUUAAGGACCUGAACUAAAAGAUACCUGCUCUGAUGUCUUUGGUUGGGGCGACCGCGGAGAAGAAAAAAACCUCCCCUCCGCGCGGAAUGGGAGCACGUACUUUAGACUCCUACAACCAAGAGCCACAGCUCGAACUAGCAGAACCUUCUGACCUUCAUGAUCCGGCAAACGCCGAUCAUCGAACCGAGUUACCCUAGGGAUAACAGCGCAAUCCCCUUUCAGAGCCCAUAUCGACAAGGGGGUUUACGACCUCGAUGUUGGAUCAGGACAUCCUAAUGGUGCAGCCGCUAUUAAGGGUUCGUUUGUUCAACGAUUAAAGUCCUACGUGAUC